rnacentral:rRNA from 1 species
GUGGGGAAUCUUGCGCAAUGGGCGAAAGCCUGACGCAGCCAUGCCGCGUGGAUCAUGAAGGUCUUAGGAUUGUAAAAUUCUUUCACCGGGGACGAUAAUGACGGUACCCGGAGAAGAAGCCCCGGCUAACUUCGUGCCAGCAGCCGCGGUAAUACGAAGGGGGCUAGCGUUGCUCGGAAUUACUGGGCGUAAAGGGCGCGUAGGCGGACAGUUUAGUCAGAGGUGAAAGCCCAGGGCUCAACCUUGGAAUUGCCUUUGAUACUGGCUGUCUUGAGUACGGGAGAGGUGAGUGGAACUCCGAGUGUAGAGGUGAAAUUCGUAGAUAUUCGGAAGAACACCAGUGGCGAAGGCGACUCACUGGCCCGUUACUGACGCUGAGGCGCGAAAGCGUGGGGAGCAAACAGGAUUAGAUACCCUGGUAGUCC